GGGUGAUGGCGUGCCUUUUGUAGAAUGAACCGGCGAGUUACUGUAUGGAGCGAGGUUAAGCAGGAUAUGCGGAGCCGAAGCGAAAGCGAGUCUUAAGAGGGCGCGAGUUGCAUGCAGUAGACCCGAAACCGGGUGAUCUAGCCAUGACCAGGUUGAAGUUGGGGUAAAACCCGAUGGAGGACCGAACCGACCCCCGUUGAAACGUUGGCGGAUGAGUUGUGGCUAGGGGUGAAAUUCCAAUCGAACCCGGAGAUAGCUGGUUCUCCCCGAAAUAGCUUUAGGGCUAGCGUCGAGAGAAGAGUUGCGUGAAGGUAGAGCACUGAAUAUGUGAUGGCCCCAUCUCGGGGUACUGAGCAUAAUCAAACUGCGAAUGUCACGCCAACAUGCUCGGCAGUCAGACAGCGGGUGAUAAGGUCCGUUGUCAAGAGGGAAACAGCCCAGACCAUCAGCUAAGGUCCCAAAAUGUAUGCUAAGUGGAAAAGGAUGUGGAGAUGUACAGACAACUAGGAGGUUGGCUCAGAAGCAGCCAUCCUUUAAAGAGUGCGUAACAGCUCACUAGUCGAAUGACUCUGCGCCGAUAAUUUACCGGGGCUAAGCAUACUACCGAAGCUAUGGAUCCCAAGGGAUGGUAGGGGAGCGUUCCAUGAACGGAGAAGUACGACCGAAAGGACGUGUGGAGAUCAUGGAAGAGAGAAUGCCGGUGUGAGUAGCGGAACGUGGGUGAGAAUCCCACGCACCGAAAACCCAAGGUUUCCAGAGGAAGGUUCGUCCGCUCUGGGUAAGUCGGGACCUAAGGCGAGGCCGAAAGGCGUAGUCGAUGGACAACAGGUAGAUAUUCCUGUACCCGUAUAUAUGUGAAGGAAUGACGGAGAGAGGAAGCUGCAGCCAGCGGCUGGAAGAGCUGGUGCAAGCGAGAUAUCGGGAUGGCAGGCAAAUCCACCAUCCGAAACGAGAAGGCGUGAAGCGUACGGAAAGCUACGGCGAGUACGGAAGGCAGUGGAGGAACUUCCAAGAAAAGUUUCUAACGUUAAGUAUAUAUGGCCCGUACCGAAAAUGGACACACAUGGGUGAGGAGAGAAUCCUAAGGUGAGCGAGAGAACUAUAGCUAAGGAACUCUGCAAAAUGACUCCGUAACUUAGGGAGAAGGAGUGCUCAUAGAGAUAUGAGCCGCAGUGAAACGGCCCAAGCGACUGUUUACCAAAAACACAGCUCUCUGCUAAGCCGCAAGGCGAAGUAUAGGGGGUGACGCCUGCCCGGUGCUGGAAGGUUAAGGGGAGGGGUUAACGCAAGUGAAGCCCUGAACUGAAGCCCCAGUAAACGGCGGCCGUAACUAUAACGGUCCUAAGGUAGCGAAAUUCCUUGUCAGGUAAGUUCUGACCCGCACGAAAGGCGUAACGAUUUGGGCGCUGUCUCAGCUGUAGACUCGGUGAAGUCUUAGUACCUGUGAAGAUGCAGGUUACCCGCGACUAGACGGAAAGACCCCAUGGAGCUUCACUGCAGGUUGAUAUUGGGAUUUGAUGCAGCAUGUACAGGAUAGGUAGGAGGCAAAGAGAUGGAUACGCCAGUAUUCAAGGAGCCGCUGUUGGGAUACUACCCCUGUUGUAUUGGAUUUCUAACCGGACGACGUAGAGCCGUUGACGGGACAGUGUCAGUCGGGCAGUUUGACUGGGGCGGUCGCCUCCCAAAGAGUAACGGAGGCGCCCAAAGAUACCCUCAGCUUGGAUGGAAACCAAGCGCAGAGUGCAAAGGCAAAAGGGUGUUUGACUGCGAGACCUACAAGUCGAGCAGGGACGAAAGUCGGGCUUAGUGAUCCGGC
rnacentral:rRNA from 1 species